UACAGAGGUCUCAAGCGUUGUUCGGAUUCAUUGGGCGUAAAGGGUGCGUAGGCGGCGCGGUAAGUCGGGUGUGAAAUCUUGGAGCUUAACUCCGAAACUGCAUUCGAUACUGCCGUGCUUGAGGACUGGAGAGGAGACUGGAAUUUACGGUGUAGCGGUGAAAUGCGUAGAUAUCGUAAGGAACACCGGUGGCGAAGGCGGUUCUCUGGGCCUGACCUGACGCUGAGGAGCGAAAGCGUGGGGAGCGAACAGG
rnacentral:rRNA from 1 species